GAGCGGAUGACGGGAGCUUGCUCCUUGAUUCAGCGGCGGACGGGUGAGUAAUGCCUAGGAAUCUGCCUGGUAGUGGGGGACAACGUUUCGAAAGGAACGCUAAUACCGCAUACGUCCUACGGGAGAAAGCAGGGGACCUUUGGGCCUUGCGCUAUCAGAUGAGCCUAGGUCGGAUUAGCUAGUUGGUGGGGUAAUGGCUCACCAAGGCGACGAUCUGUAACUGGUCUGAGAGGAUGAUCAGUCACACUGGAACUGAGACACGGUCCAGACUCCUACGGGAGGCAGCAGUGGGGAAUAUUGGACAAUGGGCGAAAGCCUGAUCCAGCCAUGCCGCGUGUGUGAAGAAGGUCUUCGGAUUGUAAAGCACUUUAAGUUGGGAGGAAGGGCAGUAAGUUAAUACCUUGCUGUUUUGACGUUACCGACAGAAUAAGCACCGGCUAACUCUGUG
rnacentral:rRNA from 1 species